CAAUAGCGUAUAUUAAAGUUGUUGCAGUUAAAAAGCUCGUAGUUGGAUUUGUGGCGUACGACGGGCUCCGGGCACUUGUUGUCUGAGUAGCUUGUCGUUGCCAUCCUUGGGUGGAACCUGUGUGGCAUUAGGUUGUCGUGCAGGGGAUGCCCAUCUUUUACUGUGAAAAAAUUAGAGUGUUCAAAGCAGGCUUAUGCCGUUGAAUAUAUUAGCAUGGAAUAAUAAGAUAGGACUUUGUCGCUAUUUUGUUGGUUUGCGCGAUAAGGUAAUGAUUAAUAGGGACAGUUGGGGGUAUUCGUAUUCCAUUGUCAGAGGUGAAAUUCUUGGAUUUUUGGAAGACGAACUACUGCGAAANCANNNACCAAGGAUGUUUUCAUNAA
rnacentral:rRNA from 1 species